AGCGUAGGAGGUCUGCAGGCAAAUCCGCAGACGCAUCUCCAAGGCAAAGACACGUGCCGCCACGGCGGCGAAGUGAUCGGAAGUGCUUCCAAGAAAAGCCUCUAAGCACCAGUCUGAUGCGGACCGUACCGCAAACCGACACUGGUGGGCGAGCUGAAUAUGCUCAGGCGCUUGAGAGAACUCGGGAGAAGGAACUCGGCAAAUUGACACCGUAACUUCGGAAGAAGGUGUGCCGUAGUACCGUGAGAGGAGAGACACCUUGAGCGGGAAACGGUCUCAGAGAAUAGGUGGCUGCGACUGUUUAUUAAAAACACAGCACUCUGCAAAGUCGAAAGACGACGUAUAGGGUGUGAUGCCUGCCCGGUGCUGGAAGAUUAAUUGAUGGGGUGAGAGCCCUUGAUCGAAGUCCCAGUAAACGGCGGCCGUAACUAUAACGGUCCUAAGGUAGCGAAAUUCCUUGUCGGGUAAGUUCCGACCUGCACGAAUGGCAUAACGAUGGCCACACUGUCUCCUCCCGAGACUCAGUGAAGUUGAAAUGUUUGUGAUGAUGCAAUCUACCCGCGGCUAGACGGAAAGACCCCAUGAACCUUUACUGCAGCUUUGCAUUGAACUGUGAACCGAUUUGUGUAGGAUAGGUGGGAGGCAGAGAAGAGGCCACGCCAGUGGUCUUGGAGCCGACCUUGAAAUACCACCCUGAUUUGUUUGCGGUUCUAACCACGGACAGUGAUCCUGUCUUGGGACCGUGCAUGGUAGGCAGUUUGACUGGGGCGGUCUCCUCCUAAAGGGUAACGGAGGAGUACGAAGGUACGCUAGGUACGGUCGGAAAUCGUGCUGAUAGUGCAAUGGCAAAAGCGUGCUUGACUGCGAGAGCAACAACUCGAGCAGAUGCGAAAGCAGGUCAUAGUGAUCCGGUGGCUCUGAAUGGAAGGGCCAUCGCUCAACGGAUAAAAGGUACUCUGGGGAUAACAGGCUGAUACCGCCCAAGAGUUCAUAUCGACGGCGGUGUUUGGCACCUCGAUGUCGGCUCAUCUCAUCCUGGGGCUGUAGUCGGUCCCAAGGGUAUGGCUGUUCGCCAUUUAAAGAGGUACGUGAGCUGGGUUUAAAACGUCGUGAGACAGUUUGGUCCCUAUCUGCCGUGGGCGUUGGAAGAUUGACGGGGGCUGCUCCUAGUACGAGAGGACCGGAGUGGACGCACCUCUGGUGUACCGGUUGUCACGCCAGUGGCAUUGCCGGGUAGCUAAGUGCGGAAGAGAUAACCGCUGAAAGCAUCUAAGCGGGAAACUUGCCUGAAGAUGAGUCUUCCCGGAGGUUGAACCUCCCUCAAGAGUCGUCCGAGACCAGGACGUCGAUAGGUCAGGUGUGUAAGCGCUGUAAGGCGUUGAGCUAACUGAUACUAAUUGCUCGUGAGGCUUGAUCCU
rnacentral:rRNA from 1 species